CUGAGGGCUGGCAUAGGGCAGGUGGAAAACAAGCCUGGGAUUUUUUGUUAUUUAGGAUUUUGCUUCAGCUGCCUUAGUAGAGAGAUCUGAAGUAUUAACGGAAAUGGGUUAGUGAUAGUGAAAGUUCAUUUCCCCUUCAUGUGGACGUCUAGGUGGCUGCGCUGUAGUCCACGAUCAUCAGGAACCCAGACUCCUUCCGCCCUGUCGCUUUGCCAUCCUUAAACUGCAUCACCCACUUUGUGGUUCAAGGUGGCUGCUCCAGCUCCUACCAUCACAUCUGUAUUCCAGCCCAUGGGAAGAGAGAAUAGGGAGGAAAUUGUACUUAAAUAGUAGCUGUGAGACAAUGUGAUCAAAGCCAUGGAAGUUGCAGGUCCACAGUACACUGGGCUCUGUCGGGCUGGAGCCUCCUUGAUCUGGGCUCCAUUCAGUCCUCCCCUCUUUCCUGCUCAUCUCUGCCGUGUCAAAGGGCUGACCCCUGCAGGCUGCACCUCCCAGGUUCCCCUGUCGGUUCCCCGACUUCCAUGUGGAUUCAGGCAAUGGGAAACACAUGGGAGACUGGUAGGCAGGAGAAAGGGAGAAACUGAGGCAUUCCUUCCCCUCUGUUUCUGUCUCACACAGUGACUCCCAGGACGCCUGUGUCAGGCUCCAGCUCCCACCGGCCCACGGGCUGUACCGUGCCACCCAGUCUUUGGGUGGUGGUGGCUUCUUGCUGUGGUUAAUGUCUGGGUUGCUUCGCUUUCCCGCCCCGGUUUUAGCUCCUCCAUCACCUGGGAUCAAUUCCUUGUAUUAAAAUCCCCCAGUUGUGGUAAAGGGGUCAGACCCUGGGCUGUACAGGAGGCUCCCUAUCGAGGCGAGAAUUCAUAGAGGAAGCGAUGUCUGUGCUGGAUCUUCAAGGUUUGCUGAUGAUUUUCAUCAAUUCCAAUUCGGUUUUUCUGGCCUCUGGGCGUAGAGGACCCACGAGGAGAAACGGUCUGGGGCUCAGACCCCUCAGCAUGGGAUUAGUGGGACCAGGGAUGUGGUUGGCAGUUGCUUUUCCUGCAGGGUUUCUCCACCGAGACGGGAUGGGCGUUUUGGACCAGAUGGCGAUUAGCUGGUGCUGUCUUGUGAAACACAGGAUGUUUAGCUGCACGCUUGGCCUCUGACCACUCGCGGCCACAGGCACCCCGCCCUGCCUGAGUUAUGGUGACCAGAAAGCCUGCGGACAUUGCCAGAUGCCCUUUGGUAGGUGGGGGUGGUGGCUGGGGGUGAAUCACUCCAGUUCACAACACCUGUUCCCUGCUGAUGGCUCCGCAUCCUCGCAUGAUACUGGAAAACCUUUUCAUGCUGAAGGUCAGAGGUCACUGCCUUCCAGAAGAGGCAGCUGCCACGCGGCUCCCCUCCUCCUCCUCCCCCGCUGCGAGCGCCCUCGUUCCCCAUGAACACCGUCUGCUGGAGGACAGCGAUCCCUUUGUCUGUGAGGGAGUGGCAGUGCCAGACCUUUGUUCUCUCGCCAGGAAGCGGUGAGGCGGGAGCUGGGGCGUCAUCGACGGGUUACAGUGUCGUUACAGUUGUGCUCUGGCUUCUGAGAUGCAAGUCGCAGAGCUCUGAAGGAUGUUUAAUUUUAUCCUUCAUGGAUGGUCAACCUUUCCUUCGUAAGAUGACCUUUCUGCUCCCCACCCAGACGCACACCCGGCCUGGGCUCCCAGGCCGUCAGGCAGCAAGGGAGAACCCCACCCGCUUCUGAGAACGAACAGCGCUUCUGCUGCCGUCACCUUCCCAUCGAGGGCCGCCCCGCGAGGCAGACCUUUCCUGGGCGCGUCAGCCUGUUCGGUUCAUCUGCUCAGUGUGCCCCGCAGGGCAGAGAUGGCUUUUCUUAUUUCAUAGCUGAAGAAACAACUUGCCUGGAGAAGUACAGCCGGUGGGGGACGGCAUCAGGACGUCUCCUGCCGUCAAAGAGAAUGGCCGCACCUAGAGGUUCUCAGCUCCGAUGUUUUACGCACAUCAUCCGCGUCGUGUUCACAGCUUCAGCGCCACGGGACUUCAGAGGGGCUGUGAGCUGUCUGGUGUGGUUGAUGGAAGCUUCCUAAGGAAUCAGGGGGUAGGCGGGGAGCCAGAGUUCCACUGUCUGUCCUGGAGCAGCCGUGCCAAACUGAUGCCCGAUGAUGACAAUGUUGGCGUUUUAAAUCAUCAAAAAUGAGCAAGAGUUUUAAAUCAUCAAAAAUGAAAAUAUCCAUUAGUUGGGAAAUUAUUACAUCUACACUGAGAAAAACUAGUGCACCAGUUAAAAAGAAUGAAUUAGCUUUAUAAAUACUGACAUCGAAAAGGUAUCUCUGGUACGUUCAAGGAGGAAACCGAAUCGCGGAACAUGACGUAUAGGGUUAUAUUUUUGUUAGAAUACACGGAGAACUCUGCAGCAGGGUACACGCCAAUUGAUUUUAUAGGUUCUAUAUGUGGAAGGGGAGAGUGGGGAACGUGGGAACUUGUGUUGGGAGUUUUGGCAAUGAGCACAGCUUCUUCUGUAAUUCAAAUGACGUGAGCAGAGACAUGAGUUGUCGGAGGCAGGGUCCUAAUCCACGGGUUGGCUGCACCCUGGAGGCCUGCCCCGCACAGGCCAGCCCUGCUCGGUUCGCCUUCCUGGCGGCCGAGCUGGUCCUCGCAGCCCGGACCCCGGCAGCCCCUCACCCGGCCCUUUGCCUUCGCUUCCUGUCUCUCCUGCCCUGCCCGGUAGGCGAAGUCCUGCUCCAACACCCAGAUUCAAAUGGCCCAGCCAGAUUUCUGGGAAGCCCUGUUGCCUCCGCAGAUCUGCCUCCCUGACACACAGCCCUGGACGGGUGCGGUGAGUCAGGAAGGUGGGUGGCCACACAGAGCUGUUGCUCAAGGCCUUCCGCAUCAGCCUCACCCACAAGCCUGGGUUUUUGAGGUUCUUCCCCUCUUCCUCCCGGACACCAGCCUGCCUGCCGGGGCCCUUCGUCUGCCUUGUUCAUACCCAUCCUGUUUGGGUUGGGCGGCUGCCCCCAGCUCCAUCCUGAGGCUGGCUUCUGUGCAGGGACAGAUCUUCUGCACAGAAGGCGGCCACUGUCUGGCCUGACCUCUUGCUGCAGCCCUACUUUGUCUGUAAUGUGGAUGUGGUCAGUUUCUGGAAUUCGUAAUAUGCCCAGUGCUGAGAGGUGCCUGGGACCUCAGUGCACUGUGACCAGGUCCCCUGGUGCUCCUGGGACUCUCCUGGCCUUGGCACCGGAAGUCCAACAUCCUGGGAAUCUCCUCAGAACCAGGCAAACCAAGACAAUUGGUUAUGUUACAAGAAGAAGGCAGAUCUGGGGAGGAGUGGGCAAAGACAGUGCCCAGGACACUGCGAAGAUUUAUGUACAAGGAUGUGAAUCACAGCAUUUGUUUAAAGUAGAAAGAAACUGGUGGGGGGUGGGGGCGGCAAAACCAAAUUCAACCCAAGAGGAAUGGUUAAAAUUACACUCCAUUUAUUCACAUAGCCUAUCAUGCAAUCUCUAAAACCUACAUCCUGAAGUUCAUUUAGGAGUAAGAGAAAUUUUCAUGGUAUAUUGCUAAGCAGAAAAAAUGCACAGUGCAUUAACUAUUUAUGCAGCACAAUAGGGGUGAUUUUUCUUCCCUAUAAGUUUUCUAUAAUAAGUUUGUAAUACUUUUAUGAUCAGACAAAUCAAUCAAUUGUCAUUGUAAGAUAGUGUGGGUAACGAGAGGAUUGAGUUUAUCAAAGGUAGCCCCAGUGCCUAGGGCACCAGGAGCCCAGAGAAGGCCUCUCACAGUGACCACCGCUUCGGUUCACCUGGGACUGAGGGGGUCCUUGGGACCCCAGACCUUCAGUGUGAAAACUGGGAAAGUCCUGGGCAUGUCGGGAUGAGCUCUUCACCCUGACAUCACUUACCUGUCUCCUCCAAGGUAUGUCUUGUGGCUUCUCUAGAUUUGGUUGUUAGCAGGGGGAGAAGAUGAGACUGUGGUGGGUCUCAUGGGUAGACUCAGAGCUGUGGAAAGGACACUGGACUUCUGCACAAGCAUCUGCUCAAGAUUGCAAGUAUCUGCUUACCUGGCAACUCCAGCUACAGAGUAGGACCUCGGAUCCCUGGUGUUCUACCCACUACCCCAGCUAGGGUUCACGUAAUGGGUGCAUGUGGCCAGAUGGAAUCCCAGCGCUAAAGGCCACAGGAGGAGGCGUCCCAGAAAAGUGUCUGGGAAAAGACUGUCCACCAGAGCAGAAGCCAGAAGCCAUGUGGAAAGGAGCUGUCCUGAUAAUCGUUGCUGACCACGCUUGGUCAGUUUCCAAGAUUAUCAGCUGGACAAUUAAGAGGGCUCCCCAUGAAACAGAGGCACUGGAACCUUCUCGCCUCUAGCCAGUGAGUCCUUGAAGAACAUCUCCCUCGAUGCGACAGAGCUUAGACAUUAGCUAAGCUCCACGGUGGCCCAGUAUGCUAUCCUCAGGUCCCUACUCUCUGUGGGGAAAUAACAUGACAGAAAUGAACUCGGACGGCCUGUGUGAAGGAAACACACUGCCAGCAACUUCCUGAACAUUCCUGAGUGAUUUUUGCAAAGCUCUUUUACCAAAACACAUACACACACACACACACACGUGUGUGUGUACUUAAUGUAAAACCUUAUUUAAAACAUUUUAUAAAAUAAAAUGCCCAAGUCUCAAGUAUACAGCUCAAUUAAUUUUGACAAAUGGCCAUACUCAUAUAAUGUCACCAAGAUCAAGAUACAAAAUAUUUCUACAACCCCACAAAAUUCCUUUGUGCCCCUUUUCUAGUCAAUAUGCUGCUAUUCAACAGAGGCAGCCCCUCCUCUGAUCUAUAUUUUCACAGACUAAAUCAGAAUUAGAUACACAGAAAUGUGGCUACAGAAAAGAAAGAACAUGACAUAAAAAACAUCUCUCAGAAAUGGAGGCCAAGCUAGAAGGGACACAGGAGUGAGUGAACACAACAUACAAUGCUGUCAGAGAAAUGGUAGGCGAAAGGUGGGAACAUUUAAACAUAAAAAAGAAAUGAAGAGAUAAAUAGGACUUGAGAGAAAGUGAAAAGUAUUGAAGGAGGGCAAAGAAGACCUAACAUAUGGCUGCCAGGAGUCACCAUACAAAUACUAGUUUUUUACUUUUGUUAUCAUAUCCCAUCUUCCCAGCCCUCCCUGGGGGCUUCCCUGACUUCUUUGAGUUCAUUCAUCAUCUACAACCCAGUAAAUACUUUAAAAAUAAUUCAGAGUUGAAGAAAUGGAGGAAUAAGAAAACAGAAGAGAAUAUAAAGGAAGGAGAAAAACAAGGGAAGUAAGGAAAAAAUGUAAAAUCUUUUGUAUCUCUGAAUCUAUGAAUAUGGGUAGGUUUUGGUGGGGAGAAGACUGGCUUUCAUUGUUUCUACAACUCUACGGCUUACUGCCCCCAGAAAAUAAUUGGCAUUUUAAACACUAACAGCUCCUGGGACUAUAAUCCCCUAGCCCAGCGGGUGCAAUGGCACUGGGAUUGGACUGCGUAGGAUGUGGACUGUCCCAGAUGAAGCUCUGGUUUAUAAGAAAGGCCGUCUGAGCCCAGGCUGUGCUCCCUGCACAGGUGCAGUAACACAGGGCAUCGGUGGCUGCUCGUCUCCGUUCUCUCACACCGUCCACCACCCAUGUUGCUCCUGAAUGCCUCCAAGGAGGCCGUCCUGUGCAAGCACAUGUGCGAUGGUGUGUCACUGUGGCCUGGCUCAGCCUCUGUCCUGCCGCUUCCCUUGAGCAGGUCGCCGGCCCUUGCUCCUCGAGGCCCUGGGAGAUGUUUCCUCUGCUCAGGCCGCCGAGCCGCUUGGACAGUUGGCUGGCUUUCCAGAGCCCUUUGCUUCUUCCGUCCCGUGUUCUGACGGCUGACACCCUCCUGCUAAAUGACUGUCCUGUGAUCUUGGAGAGUCUCUUUGAGGGCAGGCAGUACGGCACAGAACAAAAGGAGAUGGGCCAGUCUGCUUUCAAAUUCUGGCUGUACUGCCUGUGAGGUAUGUGCUUCCCGUUCCGUCAUCAAUGGAAACAAGUGCAGCAACAGUAUCUACCUCCCAGGACCGUCAUGGCAUUAACGCAAGCAUCUGCAUGCGGGAGAGUGAUGCGGGGUUGGUGUCCAGUGAGUUCCUGGUCUCUUUUCUUCCCCCCGACGGGCUGUGAGCUAGUUGGUGCCUAGAGGGAUUGACAUUCACGGGAGGACAACAUCUGUGCACCUGCAGCAAUGUAGUGCUGGUUGGGACCUCAAAUGAGAUGCAAGACAGAAAUGGACAGGACAGAUUUGGUUCACAUUUUUGAUAUCCCAGUUUUAUUCUGUUUCAGAUUUAGAAAAUGAAUACGUUCUGUUCAAAUCUAUACUAUUGUUUAAAUCAAUGAAACCUCAAAUCUUUCAUGUAGGUGGUGGUGAAGGACAAGGAAAAUGCCUUCUUUUUAGAAUUAAUAUUGCUUUCUUUCACCUGAAUUUUGGUUCAUAUGAAUGUUUUAAAUCCCUUCCUUCUUUAUCUCACACACACGCACACACGCACACACACACGCACACACACACGCACACACACGCACACCUUAAUAUAUUGCCAAAAGCAAAUUCACUACCUUUUUUAUUGACCUAGUGCCUCUACGCAGUGAUCUCUAAACCAAAAGGAGUGACUGUCUUUGAUGAAGAAAAGCCCGUACAGUUUUCUCCCAUCACAUUUUAAGAAGCGAACCGGCCAGGGCCUGGCUGCACGGGGCCUCAGCAGGAAGAGGGGAGUCGGGGCAGGGUGGGCUUGGCAGUCAUGACCUGAGAAGGGAUGGCUCCCCUUGACCAGGAAGCCAGCUUGGCACCAUUGGAACAGGGGUCCCAGCUCUGCUGCUGAUUCUAUGGCCUUGGACAAGUCAUAUCACGUUUGGGGGCUUUAGUUUUCCGUCUAUAAAAUGAAGCAUUUGGUGUAAAUGAAUUCUAGGAUCUCUUCUUUCAGCUCAGCAAUUGGUUCCUUGAAUACAAAACUGGUAAUGUAUGGAGAGCACUGGAACAGCACUGGAGGCCAGAGGAGCUAGCCUGAAGUGCUGACACCAUGGCUUGAAAUGGGUCUGAAAAGCAAAGAAAAGGGUCCUCUGGAACCUGAGAAUGGGUGAUUACGGUACAGGGAGAUACCGGCUCAAACAGAACAAUGCGUGGCUGGUAAGAGGAACGCUUCGCCGUGAUCUCCAUGUUAGUCUUUGAUCUCUGCUGUCGUGGAACCCAACCAGUGCCACGGGUUGCAUCUGAAGGUUCACAGACACCUGUAGUGCUGGUGCCGCCAAGCAAGUCUCAUCGGAUGCCUGUUCUUUAACAUUUCCACGGCUCGUCUGGCUGGACAGGUUCACACAACAGCCACAGGGGAAACCUGAUACAGCACUGGGCUCUGGGAGAGAACUCGGAACACCUCGUUAAAGGCAUAUUUUUUAUGUUACGCCAUUUAGUAUAGUAGGAAGUCCAUGGAUCUGGAAUCAUGAGAACUGGGUUCAAAUUGUAAUUCUGCCAUUUACUGUUCAGUGACCUAUGGAUGAAGGUAGAUAAUAGUGUGGAAAUGUCUGGAAUAGUCUAUGAUUUCUGGUGAUGCAAUCAGCAAUAGUGAUGACUCUUACCCUUCUUCCUGGGAAGCAAUACUGCAUUAUACUGCCUGUGACUCCUUAGAGACCUCAAAGCAACUUGUUUCCAUGUCUUCAGUUGAAAUAUGAUUUCCUGGCUAAAAAUAUAUCCAGGACACCUCCCUCUUGGUGCUUUUCCUUAGCAGUGUGCUCAGCGGCCUGGCCCCCGUGGGGUGAUGUUUCUCCUUUGAGCCUGUGCCCCGUCCGGACCCCGUGGCACGCAGUGCCAGCUUCUGCACUGCGGCAUCUGUGUCCCUCUCAUGGGGGAACCGACUGCAGUGGAAUGAGCAGAAGGUCGUCUGGCACCCGGCUGAGGCUGGGUGGGCAUCACCAGGGGGGCUGCCGGAUCGCUGACAGCAAAUGCCCCUUUGUGAUGAUGUUGAGAAUCUGGAGGAAGACACAAAAACAAAAACAGAAUAGAUUUUAGUUUUUAUUUAAUAUUUUUGUGGUCAAAUGAGGAUUUGUUUCACAUGGGCCUCGCACCCUGUGUGGCAGUACUUUACAAAUGCCUUGUCCAGUAAGGUGAGUGCUCAGUCCUGCUGACGUGCGAUCAGAGUAGCCGAAGAUAGGGCAGGGGUCUGACUCUACGCGACUGAGCCGAUGCGCACCGUGAUCUCAGACUCGCUGCCUGUAACAAAGGAGCACACGCACCUCUCACGGGACAUCGGACUGGAUCCUAGCUCCUCUCUGCCAAACGGCAUAAUGCAGUAGUCAGAUAGGACUCUCUAGAACCAGGGUCACUGAGUUCAGAUGCUGGCUUGGCCUCUUCUCUGCUGAAUGUCUGACUUUGGUUAAGUAAUACAUUUGCUCCGUGUCUCAGUUGCCUCAUCUAUAAAAUGGAAUUAAUGACACGACUUACUUCACAGGGCGGCUGUAAGAAUUAAGUGAAACAGUACGUGUAAGAUACUCUCCAUGGUGUCUGGUGCAUGUUCAGUGUUACGUGUAGAUUGCUGUGGUGGGCAGACUAGACUCUUAGGAACUCCAGCCGAUCACCUGGGCUCUGAAGGAGCUGUGAGCUUCCCUUCCACCAUGGAGCGCCUCUGAUAGCUGAGCAGCUCUCUCUUUACUCGUUAAUUUCUGAUCGUUCUUAUCUUUAUUCAUUAAUAUAAGCCAUAGUACUGAUAAUCUGGAAUGACCCAGGCACUGUCCCAGGUGGACAAGGGCAGAUGAGUCUAGCAAUGCUCGUACUCUCAGGGUUUAGAAGCCCUUUCUGUAAAUUCCGCGCGCGGGUCUGAGUUUUGCCUACUGGAAGUGUGUGGAAUAUGUCUGCUGCCCCUUCCGCAUGGCCGCAGCCCUCCCUGUGAGGGUGGUUCUGACUCGAUCACACCGGUGCAAUCAUGUCACCUGCCCCAGAUAUGGUGGGUGAUUUCCAGCCGUGUUGUCAGAAGCCUGCCAGGAGCCACGGCAGGAGGGCGUGAGCCACAGGAGCAGGAGCUCUGACCAAGGCAACCUCGGGGCUCCUGUCCUGUUCUUGGCGGGCCCCCGAGUUCUGCCUGACCCCACGCCCGGCUUCCUCUCUCCUGCUCUACAAUCAGCCUCCUUGCCUUGUUCCUCUGACAGGCCCCAUUCCAGCUGCUUCCCUGGCCCUGUCCACUCCCGCUGCUUCCCGCCAUCCCACUGCUGGGGCCUCACGCAGAUGGGGCCGAACUGGGCCCCAUCCAGCCCGCAAGCUCGGGGGGCUAAAUCACUGCACGUUUCCAUUUGGUAUGAAUGGUUUAUUUACAUUGUCCCCAACUCCUUGACCUCUGAGAUAGCCUUUCUCAGAAUGGGCAGGGGAACAAGAUAAACAAGCCCAUGGGAGUCAGUCCAGACGGCCCGGAGUGUAGGACGUGCCAGUAUUUUAUGCAUCAAACACACACGUGUGGCCAAGUCAGCCAUGACCCCACGCUUUCAUAUCACUAAGAAUUUUCAUUUUCACUUACUGAAAGAGCUCUUUAGACUUAUUUAGCAAUAGGCUUUUUUAAUACCAUGCCACUCUUAUGCAUAAAUAACAACCAAGCCCCACUGUGUCUCAGAAGCUUACCCUCUAUUCACAUUUCUAAAUCCACAAAGCGCUUGGAAAGCCAACACAUCUGGCGGGUUAGGUGGAGCUCCUGGGCCUCUAGCUUUCGUCCAGGUCUCUGUCCGCCCAGGGCUCAUCCUUUUCCAGAUCGUCAGCAUCCACGGUCAUGGUGCUGAGAGACAUUUCUUUUUCAGGCAGAGGUGGAUUUAUCUAUCGUUACCAAAGCUUAGAAUUCAGGGCUCCUGACUUGCACAGCCUAUGAUAUUACAGAAUUUGUCAUAAGAACAGGUGAUCGAAGAAUAACUAUGUAGCCACAAAAUCUAAGGCAAUGUAUGAAAAAGUCAUGCCAAGCAUCUCAUUAAUUUAAAAAAAUUACUUUUUUAAAACUAUUACGGUUGUUGCAUUUUUUAAAUGUGUUAUUUGCCUUAUUGUCUCUUUCUUAGUAAAUAUUCACUGUUCUACCUCCCUAAUUUUUAUUCAUAAUUUUUAAAUUUUUAUGUGUAUUUUUCCUACGAGGGGGUCUGCAAAUUGCACAAAUUGGGGGGCCAGCGGUGCCUGGACUCGCCCACUUCUUAGCUCAUUUGUCCUCACUCUCUGGCUCUCUCAUCCUCUGAGACCACAAAAAUCAGUGUGCCACUCAAGUCACUACUGUCACAGAGAGUUAAAGCCACACAGUGCCACCACUGGGCUCAGCAAACUCCACAAGAAACAGCAGCGUGAAUGGAGGACACAUGGUUUGAGUCAGGAUGGAAACAGAGAUUUGGAAAAAUGGAGAAGUGAGUUUGUCCAAUGGAAGGAAUGGUGGAACCUACUGUGGGUCAGCCUGGCAUCUCUCUACGCAUUAGUUCCAACCUCAGGAUGGUGCUGGAAGGCAGAUAUUUCCAUUUCUAAAAGAAGGUAACAGACUCAGAAAAGUGCAGUAACUUGCCCAAGGUCACACAGCUCGGUGGCCGAAGCAGGAUCCCAGUCUGGCUUCCUCUGACUCAUAACCGUUUUCUCCUUCUUCUAAGGACAUUCUCUGCUUUAGGAAGACCAGUAGCUUCCGAGUCCAUCUUCGUACUCUUUCCCCCGAUCCUGAUUCAGGCAAGUUGUUGGUACAGCCACAGAUUUCCUCGUGGGAUUCUGUGGUGUCUUUAUUGACACAUUUCCCCCCUUACUUUAGUAUCACAAAUGGACGUGGCACAGAUGAAUGAAGCAGUUUUUGAUUAGAAGCAGAGGGGCUCCAACAGCUUCUGCCGCGUGUUGAGUGCCUGCCGGGUGCUCACUGGCCCUGGAUCUAAGUCGUAACUCCCCUGCAGUCACAGGAGAACUUGGGUGGCCAUGCUCUGCCUCCAGCUACUUGCUUUCUGCAGGAAGGGCAUUUCUAGAAUCUUCAGGGGGAUGAGGAAACGGCGUCCGAACUCCUUGCUGCCAAGUCCUGCUGAGAGGAUUUCUGUGCCGGAUCCAAGAGCCUGUUACUCACGAGGCCUGGAUCUUUCUGGUCUAGAAAAACAAGUGAUCCUUGGCUGAGGUCAGUAUGCCAGGAAAUCCCUAAGAAUUAUUCUGAAUCUCAUUCUGAAGGCCUCCCGUGGCCAUAUAAGAAAAGUCAAGCACUGAGAUCCUACGUGGAAGAUACAAACACAAUAUGAAACAGUAAAAACUCCCCACAGAUCUGGUUCUGUCUGACCCACCCUUGAGGUGUGUUUGGCAGCGUGUGCUCCCGGGAAGGGAGUCCAGCCAGAAGGUGACUCGUGAUUCUUGGGUGUGUGCUGGCCUUGCACUCCUGCUGCCGUCACCCCCCAUGCAGGGGCUUGCGCACCUUCUGGUCAUGUGCAUGUAGGAUGCACGCAUUCACUGACUGAGGUGCUCACAGCGAGCACCUACUGCGCGCUGGGCUCUGUGUGGAAACUGGAAACACAGUGCUAAGCAGAAACAGCACACUUCUUACAAUCAACAAGCCUACAGUUUAAUCAAGGAAAAACAGGAGAAAAAGAAUCCAGAAAAAUAAAUAUCUAAUUCCCGGGUGUUUUGGAGAAAAUGACAGCCAGGCUGUGAGAGCAUCUAACGUGGACUGACUCUCGUCGGCGAAGCUGGAGUAGAUGGCCCUGGAGAUGAUGUCUGAGUUGAGAUUUGGGAAGCAGGUACUGCUUCCCAGACCCUCGGGAUGGGUGAGGAAUCGCGAGGAGGCUUUGACAAGUCGCUGGAAGUGAGCAUCUGGGCCGUCAGCAGGGAGCAUGCUUGGUUUUUGCUCUGAAGACGGCUGAGUACUUGGGCCAAGGGAGGGAGAGCCCGGGUGCAGGCACAGCCUCGUCCAGGUGACCGUGUCCUUCCUGCAGAUCACCUCCUGGCCCCUCAGCCAGGAGCCCAAUUCCUCUAGUUGGUCCACGCUGUUAGUCAGCUGGCCAACCUCCUCUGACCAGCGCUGUGCUUCAUCCCUGACUGUCAGGCCUCCUCCGCCACAUCGGUGCCAGGCUCCCCUCCCCCUCCCAUCGUUGGCCUGUACAAUCUCCUGCGACUCCUAGCUUACAACUGUGACCACAAGAACAGAGACAAGAACCACCCUGAUCACGCGCUCCCUCUGCACAGACACUGUCAUUCUGUGUGGUUUUUUUCCACUAUAUACUAAAAUGUGGAGUUGAAUCACUUUUAUGUUGAGAUUUGUCCAAAUCUAUCCUCCUGUGGGUCAUCUUUACCUGGGAAAUAUGUGCUCUGAGAGGCUUAAAUGAAACGACUGUUCUCUCCCUUAUCGUGUUUCUCUCGGGCUGAGAGAGGUGUGACAUAUGAGCUGAAAGUAAAUUUAACAGGAAACUUAGGUUUUGUUUCCAGCGACAGUAAUUCAGUCUUCUUGCGGACGGGAAGGACACUGGGAGCCUUUGUUGCUGCAGGCCCCGCCCCCAGGGCAGUGUGACAGGCUGAGCUCUCUGGAAACAGUGUUGUAAAUCAGAAUUCCGUAGCAUUUACUUUAGAGUCUUCCCUCGCUGAAUUUCACAUAACCUCACAAGCAUUAAUGCUGCAGCUGAUGUUAAGCCUGUUUGCUGAGAAAAUGGGGACAGAAGAAUAUUCAGUGUGUGACUCGGUACCCCAGUGCCCAUGUGUCAGCAGGGCAGGCACCUUAUGCAAGGCCAGGAGGGGGACUCAGGAGAUUCCGAACAACAGCGGCUGGAAAGCCAAGGUCCACCCUGUUCCUCUGGCCAUGUGGUGGGGCAGGGGCCCGACGUACUGGAGGAGAAGGAGGUGCAGGAGGAGAUGAAGGGGAAUGGGGGGAAGGAGGCCAGAGAAACCUCGUGACCUUGGAGCUGGGUGCAGAUCGGCACCUGCAGACCUGCUUCCUCCCCACCCCGUAGGUUUGCUCGUUCCCAGUAACCGGAGAAUGUGCUUGUGUCCUGGAUCGCAGAGAGCGGUGCCAUUAGCAUAAACCCCCGUGUGCCCCAGGUGGCUAUGCCACACAGCCCCCUGCAGCAAGAGCUGGCAGUUGGCGCCGACCUGGGGGUCGCACAGACCCAGGGUUCAUGCCGGCGUGCAGAUGCCAAGGAAGGCUCUGGUUUCACCCCUAAGGUUAAGCUCAGAAAAAACAGAAAAGGAUUGAAUCCUUGUAUUUAAUCUGUCUUUAUCAAACACUCACCUUGCAAUUUUAGCAAAUUAGAGGGCAUGGUGUUCGUUUAAGACAGUGUUAAGACUGGAGACCCAAACCAACAAUCAGGCCUCAGAGAACAGAUGCCACAUCCUCGUAUUGUUUGUAACUGCAGAUAAAUGUUACUUAAUUGAAAUAAUAAUUUUUCGUAUUCCUUUCCCUCCUGCCACCCACAUGCUGGUGUUCCUGAGUGACAUUAGGGCACAUGGGACUCUCUGGCCAAAUGCAUGCUGCCCAUUCUUGGACAGAAAUCCCGUCCUAAACAUGGACUGUUGGACACGCAUCCUGGGCCCCUCGUGAUUCGGCCUCUGCCCUGUGUGUUUCCCCUCCUGCUGCAUUUUGCCCUUCGUUUCCCAGAGGCGCUGAGCACCCCAGGCUCCCCGGGGCUCUGAUGCUCAUGCUGCUGCGUCUGCCCCAAGCAUGUUCUUCGUCCCACUCACCCUCAGCUUGCCUUCAUGCCAACUCCCGCUUCCUCCUUGAGCUGCCCAGCCAGAGUGCGAUUGGCCUUGAGAAGCUCCCUGAUGUCCCUCCUCUGGAAACCUUUCGGAUGUUUGCACCUCAUGGCUGGCUCCGGCCACGGGGAGCCCCGCUGUGUACAAGCGGGGAGUGUGUGUGCAUUUUACUGGUUUACCCCA